rnacentral:rRNA from 1 species
UGGUGAAUUUUGGACAAUGGGCGAAAGCCUGAUCCAGCAAUGCCGCGUGCAGGAAGAAGGCCUUCGGGUUGUAAACUGCUCUUGUACGGAACGAAACGGUCUGCCCUAAUACGGCGGGCUAAUGACGGUACCGUAAGAAUAAGCACCGGCUAACUACGUGCCAGCAGCCGCGGUAAUACGUAGGGUGCAAGCGUUAAUCGGAAUUACUGGGCGUAAAGCGUGCGCAGGCGGUUAUGCAAGACAGAUGUGAAAUCCCCGGGCUCAACCUGGGAACUGCAUUUGUGACUGCAUAGCUGGAGGGCGGCAGAGGGGGAUGGAAUUCCGCGUGUAGCAGUGUAGUGCGUAGGUAUGCGGAGGAACACCGAUGGGGAAGGCAGUCCCCUGGGCCUGCACUGACUCUCAUGCACGAAAGCUGGUGGCGAAAACA